UCUUGCUUAACAACAGUCCUGUUGCUAAGCAAUAUAUUUGUAGGUUUCAUUAUUUAAUACAUUAAUAUUUAAUGUUGAAAAUAAAAUAGACAAAAAUUAAAUACAUCAUGUUAAAAAUUCUGUCGCAAUUUUGAUCCUACAUACUUUAAAAUAUAAUCAAAAAAUGCAUAUUAAAAGUUACUCGACAAUGUGAUAUUUAUUCGGGGAAAGAACCAUAAUUGCGUAAAACAAUGGACGUAAAUGGUGAAAAAUUGACAAUGAUGAUCAUUUGUCAUCAUAGAAACAACGGAUUGGACACCGUACUAAUGCAGAGGGUCACAAAUACUAAUAUGCCGAUCUCCACAGCCUCAAAUCCGGCAAGCUCGCAGGCUUCACAACGUCAGAAACUACAUAUGUAUUCCGAGUCAACCAUAAGAAUUCAGAUUUGGCCAACUACUGCACCCCGCGAGGAUAAUUCUUUCCCUGUCCGUAUAAAAAAUUUAGCAUAUCUACCAUGACCAUGAUGUGAUCCAAUUAAGUGUUAUCCAAGAAAUGGUAAUUUCUCGCAUAAGAAAGUCAAUAAUCUAAUUUUUCGCCUGAAAUUUCAAUUUUCUAGAAAUUGAAUUCAUAUAACGAUGACGUAAAUCUGGCAUUUAAUUCGAUACUCUUCAAACAUACAUAAGUAGCUAUUUCGCACAUUACUUUGACGAUUAUGUACGGUACCAUUAUCAGGCCUUGUCUGUGUUGAAUUAUAGUUUUUAAGAUAGCACUGUAAGUGUGACGGUUGUUUUGAACGGGAUGGAGUGUGCAACAUUGGAGGAAUUACAAUUCCUAGUAUGUAUGUAUGUACUAAGACAUCAUGAUAAAAAAUAUGCACACGUUGAAUACCGGAAUAAUAAUUAUACUCAAUUCCUGAUUUAUUUAAAAUAUUUUAAGGUCAAAUUGGGCCCAAAUUAGGGUCAAAUAGCCUAACUUAAGCUAAACCUUUUGAAUUAAAUCGUACGGGUAGUCAAGAGAACGGGUUAUUCUGACUGAUACUCCUGGUGUAUUCUUUUAGUUUAACUUAUUUUAUUCGUAAUACAUAAUAUGUAGGAACUAUCAAAACAAUUUAUAAUAAUAAUUCUAAUACCAUCAUCCAUAUAACUAAUUAAUAACAAGGUAUUGCAUAAUUUUAAAGGAGCCAGAGUUAAAUCUACAUACCAUAUCUUAUAAAUGGCCAAAUACAUAAUAUGGUCCUUACAUAUGCUAAAAUAACUUGGACACACUCCAAUAUUUGUCUUUCGGGACUAAUAAAGCGUUAUCGCUUGUUAUCAAAUGUGGCCUAAAUUUCCUGUUUAAAUAAUCUGCGUGAGAAGUUCGCGUAUGUAUACGUUGGACUUGUUACCUGUAAAUCACUAUAUCAAUGUGACCCGUUUUUUUAUACAAAGAGAACAAUUACGUUCUGCUAAAUGAAACCAAGUUCCUGAUUAAGUUCAGAUGUGCAUUUCAAGUCUAUAUUUGUAUCGUAGAUUUGAAUCGAUUACUAGAAAUUAACACGCUAUUCAGCAAAGAGUUACCGCAGGAUCCAUGUUCCAUCGGGUCUAUCCAUGUCUCGUCUGUGGCAUAGGGAGGACCGUGUCAUAUUGCAAUUGUAUCACCAUUAAGAGUUCACAUGUAAACAAACAGAUCGGGUUGGGGUCCAUCCGACCCAAAUAUGUAUAUAAGUGACUCUAUUGACCGUAGUCAGAAACAUUAGUUCAAUAUUACUUCGAAAAUUAUUUCGGAAAUAUUUGCCAGAAAGAAAUAAUGAAAAUGGUUAUCGUAAUUUGAUGGUUAUCAUAAGGACAUGGUACCUGGAAGAUGACAUGAGAUUUAACGAGUUUUAACCUCGCAGAAUCUUUUACAUACAACACAUGCCUCGUGUAUGAGAUUGCAGGUUACACGGCGCAUGGAUGACGUAAACAAAACAUAGGUCGGAAAAAACCUGCUACCUGAUUUUUUCUUUUAACCGUUUUAGACAUAAUUUUGGGCGGAAAUUCAAAAAUAGGCAUAGUUUUAAAAUGUCACAACCGCGUGACCGUGUAGAUGACGCCAAAGGAAUCGUACGUCGAAAUGAGGCAAAAUGAGAUUUUUAUAAAAAUUGAAUCUAUUAAAAUAAAAAUUGAAACGAUUCCUCUCUGAUUUUUAAGACACUCUUUAUGUAUACCUGUGAAAAUCACACAUUUUGGGUUGGUGGAGCCCUACUGUUUUUCAUAAUUUGCAGGUACACCCUCCUUCGUGUAGAAAUAUCAGAUCUCAUAAGAACCACGGCUCGCUUGUUAAUUGUUCCGUACUUAUAUCUUAACUUCCUUAAAACCUUUAUGAAUGUAGACUUGGAUGGAACACCAAAAUGGGGUCAGAGUUUCACCGUUCGCAAUUCGAGUAGCCUCUGCUUAAAAACUUAUCAUAUACAUAUGUUGUCCAAUACUGAAAAAGAACUCCUAUUUCUACCAAAAAAAUCACAUUUUCAAAGGUAUCGAGAAUGAUGAAUAGGUUUAGGCAAACAAAACUAGAAAAUUGUAUUUCUUAAUGAUGUGCUUAAUAGGAGAGUUAAGGUAUCUAUCUAUCGGUUUUCCUACCGGGAGUAUACAAGAAUAGAGAGAUUCAGAUAAUUACUAGAAACGUGACCAAAACCCAAAACUGUACAUAUAUAUUGUAGAAUUAAUACGUGUACAAAAAUGACUACCACUCUUUUACUUGCACACUUAUGUAUGAUCCAUUUAACUACUUAUAACUAACGAUCGGUCACACCUAAGGUUGUAAUUGAUGCGAAUUAAUAUGAAAAUAUGCAGUUCCUUUCUAUACCACAUGUAUUUAUUAGUGUGCAGUUAAAUUUUUACCAACAAUUUAAUUUAACAAAUAUUAAUAUAUAAAUUAUGUUUAUGAUAUGUGUCAAAUUUUAUGCAAGAAUACUGGUAGUUGUGCAAAAAAUAUUGAGAAACUUAUAUUAUCAAUGUAUGUAUAACCUAGAAUUAAUUAAACUUUUGCGUAGUGACUUGUUGUCUUGCGUACAUACUUCAAAAUUUCAAAAUUUACGUUUACGGGGGUUUAAAAUUAUACAAUAAAAUAAACUUAUGCAGUAAUAAUA